rnacentral:lncRNA from 1 species
UACACGUUACUCUAGGACCCUUGCAAAUGAAAGUCUUAAGAGCUCUACAAUGAUUUGUGAAGAAAAUUAAAGACACACAAUUUAUAGGAAGAAAAUUUAUAGGAAGAAAAAUUUCAGAGUAUAAAAAGAAAAUGAAAUGGGCGGCCAUCUUCUCCCCACUGGAUGCUCUUUGUUUUGGAAAAAUCUCUUCAGGAUGCUUCAUUAUUGGCUGGGCUCACUUCUCAAACCCCUGGGGAAAAGGAGCCAGAGAGAAGUUAUCAUUCAAGACCUGAAAUGGAAGAGAAGAAAAAAAAAAGAAGAAGAAAGUGGAAGGAAAGAAGGAAGAAAACAGCCAAUUAUUCAUUCAUUAAGUAUACACACCAAGUAUGUGUCUGGUUCCAUAAAGAUAAGAUUAAUAUCCAAUGUUUUCUUUCUGUAGUCUCAUUGCUUUGUUGUUUUCGUUGUUCAGUAGCUAAUUUGUGCCUGUUCUUUGUGACCUCAUGGAUUGCAGCAUGCCAAGCUGGACUUGAUCAUUGG